GAAGAAUUCUUAUGUAUUGAAGUCAAACUUUUAUUUUGAAGGAUGUGGGUUAGCAUUUUCAUUAUCAUGGUUCCUAGGUCUUUUGCAUGUUAAUAUCAUAUCCUCAGUAUGUUUUUAUGAAAUUGCGUAAAUGAGUACAUUGGGUUUUAUUUUAAGGUUCCAUAAAGAGCAAUAUUUGGGGUUAUCGCUGGAAAAGCAUCUUAUAUUUCAGACGGCACUUGACGCACUUCCGUUGGCUUUACUUCUCGUGUGUGGGGAUCGUCUUCCCGAGACAGGACACUGGGAACUUGGAGGAACUUGAACAAGUCAUAAUGGCCAUUACUGUGACCCCAAAGCCUGGAGCUUCUACAAGCAACAGCCCAAAGAACAUUGGGAUCGUCAUAGAGGGCGUGGAAGUCAUCACAGGACUUGGAGAUAUUGCAAGGGCUUGCUCUGUCCUCCUUGGCUUGACCUAUGCGCUGAAUCUCGAUUAUCCCAGACAGCUGAAGUACACCUUUGAGGUGUUCCAAAAACUUUUCUUGGAACUGGAUGAUUCAAAGAUUUCAAACAAAGUCCAGUCCCUCAAGAGCAAACUUCAGGCUUGAAAUGAGACUGUAUUGCAGUGCAGACCUUUGUGCUACACAAUGUUCAUCUUCUACAGAGCUUGAGAAUUGCACAUUUGAAAGUUCUAUGUUUGUAAGUUGGCACUGUUUUGUCCUACGAAUGUCGUGACAUUUCAAUUGUUGUACGUUCAAAGUACAAAUGUAUUUUACUCUGUUCAAUUUGCACUUUUAUUAUUUAUGUUUUGGCACAUGCCAUUAUGGAGUAUCAGCAUUUUGUCCUUUUCAAAGUUCUGGUUUGAAAUGCGUGAGCAAACUUCUGGCUUGAAAAUGAGACUGUAGUUGCAGUGUACAUGUUUUGCUACACAAUGUUUAGCUUCUACAGAGCUUGGGAAUUGCACAUCUGAAAGUGCUAUGUUUGUAAGUUAGCACUGAUUUGGACUCUUAUCCCACGAAUGUCAGUGAGAUUUCUAGUUCAGAGUACGAAAUGUUUUUUACUCCUUUCAAAUUACAAUUUUCUGCUUUUGUUUUGGUACAUGCACCUCUGGAGGAUUUUUCUUUAAUAUCAUUAUUGACCCAAUUUAGUGGCUAAGUGAGGUGAGAAAGCAUGGAAUCAGGUUUAUGGACACCACCAUUCUGUAUGUCAUUUAUUUUUGUUUUUACAAAAUAGUUUAAAGUCAGCAUUCUGUCCUUUUCAAAUGUCUGGUUUGAAAUGCAAGAUCCAACUUCUGGCUUGAAAUGAGACUGUGGUUGCAGUGUACAAUGAUGUGCUACAAUGUGUCUAAAGCACAAAAGUGAAUAAAAUUGUUAAUAAAAUUCUUAUUUGAGUA